rnacentral:rRNA from 1 species
AGUGAACGCUGGCGGUAGGCCUAACACAUGCAAGUCGAACGGCAGCACAGUAAGAGCUUGCUCUUACGGGUGGCGAGUGGCGGACGGGUGAGGAAUACAUCGGAAUCUACUUUUUCGUGGGGGAUAACGUAGGGAAACUUACGCUAAUACCGCAUACGACCUACGGGUGAAAGCAGGGGAUCUUCGGACCUUGCGCGAUUGAAUGAGCCGAUGUCGGAUUAGCUAGUUGGCGGGGUAAAGGCCCACCAAGGCGACGAUCCGUAGCUGGUCUGAGAGGAUGAUCAGCCACACUAGAACUGAGACACGGUCCAGACUCCUACGGGAGGCAGCAGUGGGGAAUAUUAGACAAUGGGCGCAAGCCUGAUCCAGCCAUACCGCGUGGGUGAAGAAGGCCUUCGGGUUGUAAAGCCCUUUUGUUGGGAAAGAAAAGCAGCAGGUUAAUACCCCGCUGUUCUGACGGUACCCAAAGAAUAAGCACCGGCUAACUUCGUG